UUGUCAUUUCUCAUCCUUCUCUCUCUUAUAGAAUAAUAGAAGCAUCAUUUAGUUCUCUUUCUUCAUUUUUACUAGAAAUCAGAAAAUUCAUCUGAUUUUGAUCUCGCACCCGCAGUUUUUGACCCCCACAUUAGCAUUUUCCGGCCUCCUCACCACCACUAUUAAAAUCAUCUCUUCCUGAUCUACAAAACCCACCUAUUUGUUUUGUUAAGUUAAUUUUUCACAUAACCACUUUCACGGCCAUUUUCCGAUCACCUCAAGCCUCCAUUUACCAAAAUAAGUUGAGAAAUAGAACCCCCUUAACUACCUGAAUAAAUCCCCUAAGGAAAAAUCACGUUCGGGGUAACUUCGCCGGCGACCGCCGCGCCGGUAUUCCUCUCCGCCGCUGAUGAACAGAAGGUUCACGAAUUGUCUGAGCUGCUGAGUCUGUUCAUGAAUAUUUGGCAAGAACUUCACCUCAACCUAGCAUGGAAUCCAGGCAAGAAAUUCAAACUUCAACUAGCUCCAUGACAGUUUCUAAACCAUUGAAAUUUCUACAACAAUUGUGGCUCUCUUAGGCAUACUAUUAAACCAUGGAUGAAAUCAAGUCAGGAGCUUGGUUGCGGAAAUUGCACAAGAGUACCUGCAAAGACUUAGUGAAGAGGCCCCAAUUGAUGACCUAAUAGAACUUGAUCAACAAAUAGUUGCUUUUCAUAUGAAGGUCUAAAAUUGAUGUUGUUAGAUGAAGACUGUUAUGUGUUGAUUUCUUUUGAAUAAUUUUUUAUUUCUGAACAGCACAAUAACAAAUCAGAGGUUGUUGUUGACCUUUUUAUGGAGGUAAUAGUCAGAUAUCUUCAGAUUGUUGCAAAACUACUCCAGACGGUGAACUGAAUUUUGUUUUCAUUAACUAAUACUUAAUGUUAGGUUAAAGACCUUGACAUGUUAAUUGAACACGUUGACAAAACAAAUUUUAAGAGCACUUGCCUAUAUCUCACAAGUUAAGCUAGGUAAGUGCAAACCCUCAGUUUAUGCAGGUUUUAAGAGCAACCAAUUGAGUUAAGAACAAUUUAUAAAGAAUGAGAAAAGAAUGGUUAUUGUUAUUGAUAAACAUUUGUA